AGUGAACGCUGGCGGUAGGCCUAACACAUGCCAGUCGAACGGCAGCACAGUAAGAGCUUGCUCUUACGGGUGGCGAGUGGCGGACGGGUGAGGAAUACAUCGGAAUCUACUUUUUCGUGGGGGAUAACGUAGGGAAACUUACGCUAAUACCGCAUACGACCUACGGGUGAAAGCAGGGGAUCUUCGGACCUUGCGCGAUUGAAUGAGCCGAUGUCGGAUUAGCUAGUUGGCGGGGUAAAGGCCCACCAAGGCGACGAUCCGUAGCUGGUCUGAGAGGAUGAUCAGCCACACUGGAACUGAGACACGGUCCAGACUCCUACGGGAGGCAGCAGUGGGGAAUAUUGGACAAUGGGCGCAAGCCUGAUCCAGCCAUACCGCGUAGGUGAAGAAGGCCUUCGGGUUGUAAGGCCCUUUUGUUGGGAAAGAAAAGCAGCAGGUUAAUACCCCGCUGUUCUGACGGUACCCAAAGAAUAAGCACCGGCUAACUUCGUG
rnacentral:rRNA from 1 species